GUUGGCGGCGUGGAUUAGGCAUGCAAGUCGAACGAGAUCUGUAGCAAUACAGUGAAAGUGGCGAAAGGGAGAGUAAUACGUAGGUACCUGCCCUCGGGUCUGGGAUAGCUGCGGGAAGCUGCAAUUAAUACCGGAUGACGUCUCUGGACCAAAGGUGUGAUUCCGCCAGGGGAUGGGCCUGCGUCCUAUCAGCUUGUUGGUGUGGUAACGGCGCACCAAGGCUAAGACGGGUACGGGGUGUGAGAGCAUGCCCCCGCUCACUGGGACUGAGAUACUGCCCAGACACCUACGGGUGGCUGCAGUCGAGAAUCUUCCGCAAUGGGCGCAAGCCUGACGGAGCGACGCCGCGUGUGGGAUGAAGGCCUUCGGGUUGUAAACCACUGUCAGUGGGGAGCAAAUGCAUCAGGGUUCUCCCUGGUGUUUGAGCGAUCCGCAGAGGAAGCACAGGCUAAUUCCGUGCCAGCAGCCGCGGUAAUACGGAAUGUGCAAACGUUAUUCGGAAUCACUGGGCUUAAAGAGUCCGUAGGCGGCUUGUUAGGUGAGGUGUGAAAUCCCUCGGCCCAACCGAGGAAUUGCGCUUCAAACCGGCAAGCUUGAGGAGGAUAGAGGUGGGCGGAACUGAUGGUAGAGCGGUGAAAUGCGUUGAUAUCAUCAGGAACACCGGAGGCGAAGGCGGUCCACUGGGUCCUUUCUGACGCUGAGGGACGAAAGCUA
rnacentral:rRNA from 1 species